rnacentral:tRNA from 2 species
GCCAUCCUAGCUCAAUUGGCAGAGCAAUGCUUUUGUAAAGCAUAGGUUCGGGGUUCGAACCCCCGGGAUGGCU